GACCUUGGGUCACGCUGUCCGGGGCUGCCCUCUCACCUCAAGGCUUACGCUGGAGCCGAAUGAAGAGGCUGCUGGACUCGCCGUCUCCAGGUCCCCUGCAGUCACCCACGCGGAGUAGGCGCAGCGCCCGGGUUCCUGAGCAGGUGGGCACAGCUCCAGGCCCCGCAGAGGAGACCAGGGGGAGGCCUGGCCCAGUGAGAAGCCGUGGGAGCGUGGCUCGGGGCGCAUCAGGGCUGGCUCACGUCGCUGGUGGGGAGUGGAGGAUGCGGCUGCAUCUGAAAACUGAUGAAGGGCCAGGGCUGUUGACAAAAUCCUUCAGCUGCCGCUCUGCCCUCAAUUCCACCUAUAAGGGACAUCAUGCAGGGUUGGUCUUUCUCUGUCUCAGCGUAAUGUCCUCAAGGUCCACCCAUGUUUCACAUAUGACAGCAUUAUUUUCUCCUGUCUCGAGGUUGAAUAAUAUUCCAGUGUGUGUGUGUGUGUGUGUGUGUGUGUCACUCCUUCUUUCAUGCAUUCAUCCAUCGCUGGCACUAGGCUGUCCGCACUUCCUGGCUGUUGUGAACGAUGCUGUAAUAAACACAGGUGCGUAUGUCUCUUCA